AUACGGAGGAUGCAAGCGUUAUCCGGAUUUAUUGGGUUUAAAGGGUGCGUAGGCGGUUUGCUAAGCGGGAGGUGAAAUGCCGGCGCUCAACGUCGGAAGUGCCUCCCGAACUGGUGGACUUGAAUGACUCUGCUGUGGGAGGAAUGUGUAGUGUAGCGGUGAAAUGCUUAGAGAUUACACAGAACACCGAUUGCGAAGGCAUCUCACGAAGGGUUGAUUGACGCUGAGGCACGAAAGCGUGGGGAUCAAACAGGAUUAGAUACCCUGGUAGUCCACGCAGUAAACGAUGAUGGCUAACCGCUGGGCUUAUCAGUUCAGUGGCCAAGCGAAAGCGAUAAGCCAUCCACCUGGGGAGUACGACCGCAAGGUUGAAACUCAAAUGAAUUGACGGGG
rnacentral:rRNA from 1 species